GGCACCAGCUGAGAGACAGAAUUUUUGGAAGAACUUAGGAAAGAAACUAAGAAAAGACAACAGCACACAGCAACAAGCUUUCCCAGGGGAGCAACAUCCAGGUCUGAGUGACACCCACUGUGGCCAUCAGUCAUCCGGGCCUCUCAUGUCACCGAGAACAUUAUGGUGGGCGCCUGUGAGCUCUUCCUGACCACCCAAGACUUCUAGGAUGCUUU
rnacentral:lncRNA from 1 species